rnacentral:rRNA from 1 species
AAAACAAACCUACGGGAGGCAGCAGUAAGGAAUAUUGGUCAAUGGACGCAAGUCUGAACCAGCCAUGCCGCGUGGAGGAUGAAGGUCCUCUGGAUUGUAAACUUCUUUUAUCUGGGAAGAAAUAUAUUUUUCCAAAGUACUUGACGGUACCAGAUGAAUAAGCACCGGCUAACUCCGUGCCAGCAGCCGCGGUAAUACGGAGGGUGCAAGCGUUAUCCGGAUUCACUGGGUUUAAAGGGUGCGUAGGCGGAUUAUUAAGUCCGUGGUGAAAUCUCCGAGCUUAACUCGGAAACUGCCAUGGAUACUAUUAGUCUUGAAUGUUGUGGAGGUUUGCGGAAUA